rnacentral:rRNA from 1 species
ACUUAAAGGAAUUGACGGGGGAACACCACAACCGGUGGGGGCUGCGGUUUAAUUAGAUCCAACGCAGAGUACCCUACCAGAGCCGACAGCAGAAUGACGGUCAGCUUGAAGAGCUUACCCGACGCGCUGAGAGGAGCUGCAUGGCCGCCGUCAGCUCGUGCUGUGAAGUGUCCGGUUAAGUCCGGUAACGAGCGAGACCCGCAUCUCAUGUUGCCAUGGAUCCCUUCGGGGAUUCAGCACUCGUGAGAGACCGCUGGUGAUAAACCAGGGGAAGGAGCGGGCCACGGUAGGUCAGUAUGGCCCGAAUGCUCUGGGAUACACGCGGCCCACAAUGGCUGGAACAGAGGGAAGCCACCCCGAGAGGGGAAGCUAACCCCCUAAAUCCAGUCUCAAUUCGAAUUGAGGACUGCAACUCGUCCUCAUAAAGUCGAAAUCGGUAGUAGUCGCUGGUCAUCAUCUAGCGGCGAAUACGUCCCUGUUCCUUGUACACACCGCCUGUCAAGUCACCCGAGUCAGGUUUAGACGAGCUUCACCAUCUGGUGAAUCAAGUCUAAGCUUGGCAAGGGGGGCUAAGUCGUAACAAGGUAACCGU